GACGUAGGGCGCGAGCGUUGUCCGGAUUUAUUGGGCGUAAAGCGCGUGUAGGCGGCUGGGUAGGUCCGCUGUGAAAACUCGAGGCUCAACCUCGAGACGUCGGCGGAAACCAUCCAGCUAGAGUCCGGAAGAGGAGAGUGGAAUUCCUGGUGUAGCGGUGAAAUGCGCAGAUAUCAGGAAGAACACCCGUGGCGAAAGCGGCUCUCUGGGACGGUACUGACGCUGAGACGCGAAAGCGUGGGGAGCGAACAGG
rnacentral:rRNA from 1 species